UUCUGGGCUGGUGCUACCAUGGCAACCUGUGACGUCAGGAUACCAGCUGCAACUAACCGUAGCGCGAGAACUGGCAAUCCAGGUUCCACCCUUUUCGGAAGAGAGCUCCCUCCUAGCUGCCUGAGGAUGCCAGUCUCUCCUGGUUGCCUUUGAAUCAAGAUGCAGAACUUUCAACUCUUCCAGCCCCAAGUCUGCCUGGAUGCUGCCAUGCUUCAGGCUAUGAUGAUAAUGGACUGAACCUCUGAACCUGCUUCUGCUGACUCAGAGUCUAUAGUGGAAUGAGAAAAUGCUAUGCAAACCACCACCAUUAAACAAUAGGAUGGAGUUCAUUUUACAGUCGUAUUAAGCAGUAAUUGCUAUUAAGUUAGCAGUAUCGGUGAGAUCAUCCUUCAUGAUCAAGCACACAGAGCAUGAAAACAGUGAGACUGAGGGCGGCAGAACUCUGUGACUCUCAGACAAGAACUGUGUUUACAUCUUUUUAAAUGCCACAUCCCUAUGAACUUUUUCUCCAAGACUCCACAACCUGCUGAGAGGCUGAACCUGUCUUCCUGAGGAGAUCCUGACUAACCAACAGCCUGGACAGAGUGAUGACAAUGCGACUAGAGCCUGGUGUAGUGGGGGAUGGGCUUUCCCCUAUUUAAGUUCAGACUCAAAAAGUAAACUUUGGCCCUUGAUCUGUA